CCGUAGGUGAACCUGCGGAAGGAUCAUUGUUGAUCGAGUCCCUGUGGAGUUUUCAUAAUGCGACGAGAAUAUGUUAUCCAUCGAAUUGUGUCAUGCCGUUUGUUGUGGUGAUGACCCUCGACAUCUUGUGCAUGUCUCGAAUUGAUCACACGGCACUGUGCGUAGUGCCAAGCCAUGUUGACUACCGUGUGCAUAUUGCCUGCUUUUGUUUGCAUGUGCAUGCGCCGUUGGAUUUAUAAGUUGAAUGACUCUGGGCAACGGAUAUCUUGGCUCUCGUAUCGAUGAAGAACGUAGCGAAAUGUGAGAGUUGAUGUGAAUUGUAGGAUCCCGUGAACCAUCGAGUUUUUGAACGCAAGUUGCGCUCUAGGUGUUGUUGCCAAGGGCACGGCUGGUUGGGAAUCAGUAAUUCAUUAGUUAUGUAUCCGAUGCAUACUUCGUGCCAGUGUCGGAAUUGAUGCUCCGAUUGUUCGUCGAAUACUCGGUGUGUCGAAUGUAAUAAGUGGCGUUGUGCGAUUUGGAAGAUGAGUGCCAUGGCUAUGCAUGCGUUGGUUGCUUUAGAAUCAUUUGGUGUAAUGUGUAGCCGUGGCCGUCUUACACGUUCAAGAGCUCUCGGUGUUUUAUCAACCUGUUUAGUUGUGAUCCCAAGUCAGGCGCGAUUACCCGCUGAGCUUAAGCAUAUCAA
rnacentral:rRNA from 1 species